CCAAACCAAAUCAAUAAAACCAAUCAACCAGCUAACCAAACAAGAAACCCCCCAAAAAAGUGAAAAAAAAAUCUGGGUAUGGUAUCAUGUGACCAUAAUCUCUGCAAUCCUGCCCUUGGGAGAUGAUGAGGGUAGGAUAAUCUUGAGUCCCACUGUAGCACAUUAAACAUGAGAGCACACGCAUGUACACAUGUACAUGAACUGCACACACACACAUACACACAGUGUCUGUUCAUACCAUUAACACAUUUACACAUUACACAUUUACAGAGUACAGCCUAUAGUGUGCAGUCAUAUUUUCCUACAGAAGCAAGCAGAUGUUCAGUUCUAUGACGCACACACCUGCCUUUUGACUCCCUUGCAUACCUGCAUUAGCACCAGUGGCCAGUGAAGACUGUGGGCAUGGCAGGCUCAGCUUUCUGGGCUUUGUAGUUUGACACCUUUUAUUUAAUUUUUUAUUUUAAAUCUCUUUCCAGUUUCAGGUUGUCAGGAAAGCUCUCUGCUCUGGAGGAGGCCCUUUGAAGACCACAGUACAGCCCUGUAGGUCUGCCCUGGAAUGCCAGUCAGUAGCUUAGGAGAGAAGCAAGGGAGCUGGUCACACGAUCCUGCCUUGUCAUCACACCAGUGACUAGGGAACCGAACAGAGGGUGAUGCUAGGGAGUCACGAACCAUCUUCUCAGCUUGGCAGUCUCUCGGUUCACUUUGGAGCUGGGACUUCCCUGAACCUUCCUGCCAAGGCGCUGGAAGCCACAGCCCUGUCCCUCACUGGAGGGCGAAGGGAGGACAGCAACACACUGCUUGUUAAUGUUCGCAAGGAUUAGAUGAGGAUGAAGAAACAUGAGGAAAUAGUGGAUGCACGUAGUUAAAGAGAAGUACAAAUGUAUAAUGCCUAAAUGGAAAGAUGAUAUCAUCCUGGGAUCAGGCAGAACCAGAGCCAUGGAGCUACAGAGAGGAUGACAGGACACAACAGUAAGUAUCACUCAUUACAGCGGGAGAUGCAUUGAACUCCUGGUUAUCUUAAGCACAUACCAAUGGUGGAGACUAAGCUUGGAAGCUGAACAAUGGGGUGGAAGAGAAGAUGACCAGUUAAGAAUGCCCUGAGAACUCACUCAGAGGGACAGAGGAGUAAUGUCACCCCUAAGCAAAGGCACUGUGAGGAGAGUGGGUACCCCAAUGCUGGCUUGGCUGUCUCUUCUCCAUUGAAGGUUGUUUUUUUGAGACUUGAGCUAUAAAACAGCUCCAAGUUUGGCCCACAUGUGGGACAAUGUUAUUGCAAAAGUCUACACAGCCAGCCAAGAGGUUCAGCUUGCCAAAUGGAAAACGGCUAAAGUGGCAUUAAAAGACACUUUGUAUCAUACCUGGGAUUUAAUCUUGGCGAUCUGACAAUCUCAAUUAUUUAUAAUUGUCCCUGUAAUGUUCCAUUUGCUUUGAAAUGAAUAUAAAGACCAGACCCAACACGAACUGUCUCACCACCAGCAGCCACAUUGUCAGCUUGCAGCAGGUCUACCUAACCGCACUGUGACCCACCAGGGACUGAUUUUGUUGUUUCUUUGUUUUGACUGUUAGCACUCUGUCUAAAACUGCUUUUAUUUGGGUAAAACCCAGGAGAGUUUUGAGACAACGUACUCAUGAUAAAACUUUUCCUCUGCAUUUUAAAAACUGACAGAUCAUCAGGUUCAUAAGUUAUAAAUUUCACAGCAUUAAGAGCCAUCCGGUCAAACCUCAUGCCGUCUUGAUCCAUCUCCCCUGGGAUCUGAAUCAUCCUAUCAGCUUGUAUAUUUGACUUGGCUGGCCACAUGGUUAGACUCUUCAGGUAUCAAAGUGCCUGUGUUAAGGGAACCCCUAUGUUGUUUAACAAUGGCUCCACAGUAAGAGUAGUGAGGCUGGAAUUCAGAUAUGCCAACACUUUCACUUUUGGUGAAGAAGUCUAAGUUUUUUACCCAAUGAAGUAAGAAAAAACUGUAUGCCAAGGCGGCUAAGCUCAAAUAUACUCACAAAACUGGUAGGAAGGAG